UACGUAGGGUGCAAGCGUUGUCCGGAUUUAUUGGGCGUAAAGAGCGUGUAGGCGGCCUUACAGGUCAGCUGUGAAAACUCGAGGCUCAACCUCGAGACGUCGGUUGAAACCGUAAGGCUAGAGUCCGGAAGAGGCGAGUGGAACUCCUGGUGUAGCGGUGGAAUGCGCAGAUAUCAGGAAGAACACCAACGGCGAAGGCAGCUCGCUGGGACGGAACUGACGCUAAGGCGCGAAAGCGUGGGGAGCGAACAGG
rnacentral:rRNA from 1 species